rnacentral:misc_RNA from 1 species
GAUGAAGAAACGCAGCGAAAUGCGAUAAGUAAUGUGAAUUGCAGAAUUCAGUGAAUCAUCGAAUCUUUGAACGCACAUUGCGCCCGCCAGUAUUCUGGCGAGCAUGCCUGUUCGAGCGUCAUUUCAACCAUCAAGCCCCAGGCUUGUGUUGGAGCCCUGCGGCUGCCGCAGCCUCCCAAAACCAGUGGCGGGCUCGCUAUCACACCGAGUGCAGUAGUUUACUCUUCGCUCAGGGCGUGUGGCGGGUGCUAGCCGUGAAACCCCCAACUUCUCAAGGUUGACCUCGGAUCAGGUAGGAAUACCCGCUGAACUUAAGCAUAUCAAUAAGCGGAGGA